UUUCCUCUUACUUUGACUUCUCCUUCCUCCUUUCCAAUCAAUCUAUCAUCUUCCUCUCAAACAACUAAAUUAGAAUUAAAAAAAAAAUGGCUAUAAAUAGGUGGUAUCGUUUGUCAAAAAAAGGACACGUUUUGGGACCCUCCUGUUGAAAUAUAUGAAAAUUGCAUUAAAAAGUUAAAAACUAGUUUUCUUUUGUGGAUCCUCUGCUUGUUUGAAUCAAGCUGGUGAUGGUGGAAAUCUCAUCACCCUGGAUUCGUAAUCCUAGUUUGCUUCUACGAAGAAGUGAGCCACAGAGGCCCAAGUGUUACAUUCUUCGAGUCAGCCUCGUCAAAUUGGAUCGUCAAAAAAAAAGGGAAGCUAAAUUACAGGUGUUGAUCAAGAGAAAAUGGGCAAAAAUACCAAAUCGUAGGAGUUGAUAUAUACAGAUAUACAACUUAUAUAAACUGAAUAUACAGGGAAUUUGGGUCUGUCAGCCCAACAGUUUGAAAUUUGGGCAAGGGCCCAAGUUUAUGAUUGUUUUUCCUUUGUUGUUCUCUUUGAUUAUAAUUUAGUUGUCUAACAUUAUUCUAGUUUAAAUUAAUUAAAUUGUCCAUUAGAGGAACUAAUCUCUUUUGUGUUAGUUUAUUUGUUUAAACAAUUU